CGUGUAGGCGGGUGGCUAAGUCAGGGGUGAAAUGCCAAGGCUCAACCUUGGAACUGCCUUUGAUACUGGCUAUCUUGAGUCCGGGAGAGGUGAGUGGAACUGCGAGUGUAGAGGUGAAAUUCGUAGAUAUUCGCAAGAACACCAGUGGCGAAGGCGGCUCACUGGCCCGGAACUGACGCUGAGACGCGAAAGCGUGGGGAGCAAACAGGAUUAGAUACCCUGGUAGUCCACGCUGUAAACGAUGGAUGCUAGCCGUUGGGGAGCUUGCUCUUCAGUGGCGCCGCUAACGCAUUAAGCAUCCCGCCUGGGGAGUACGGUCGCAAGAUUAAA
rnacentral:rRNA from 1 species